rnacentral:tRNA from 3 species
GCCUGUUUAGCUCAGCUGGUUAGAGCAUUCGUCUCAUACGCGAAAAGUCACCCGUUCGAAUCGGGUAGCAGGCA